rnacentral:tRNA from 1 species
UAUAAAGUGCCUGAGAAAAGGAUUAUUUUGAUAGAAUAAAUUACACAGAUAUCUGUCUUUAUAA